rnacentral:rRNA from 1 species
GUAGGUGGCAAGCGUUGUCCGGAAUUAUUGGGCGUAAAGCGCGCGCAGGCGGUUCUUUAAGUCUGAUGUGAAAGCCCACGGCUCAACCGUGGAGGGUCAUUGGAAUCUGGAGAACUUGAGUACAGAAGAGGAAAGCGGAAUUCCACGUGUAGCGGUGAAAUGCGUAGAGAUGUGGAGGAACACCAGUGGCGAAGGCGGCUUUCUGGUCUGUAACUGACGCUGAGGCUCGAAAGCGUGGGGGAGCAAACAGGAUUAGAUACCCUGGUAGUCCACGCCGUAAACGAUGAGUGCUAAGUGUUAGGGGGUUUCCGCCCCUUAGUGCUGCAGCUAACGCAUUAAGCACUCCCGCCUGGGAGUACGGCCGCAAGGCUG